rnacentral:tRNA from 1 species
GUUUUAAUAGUUUAAGUAAAACCCUGGUCUUGUAAACCAGCAAUGAAAUAUAUUUUCUUAAAGCA